GAAGGAGGCAGCAGAGAGCAGACUCCCCUGGACCCAGCUGUGUCUCCAUGAAGAGUGGCCACUCUAUUGGUAGAAUUAUUGACUUUAAAGAUGGACGUCCCUACAGAGAGGAGAGACACCAGGAGAGGUCAAAGGUCACCAGUGCUCCGUCUCUACAGCAGCAUCCAACAGAGCUGAUCAAGAGGGCUGAGGAGAACGCACACGCUUUCCUGGACAAGGAG